CCUACGGGAGGCAGCAGUGGGGAAUAUUGGACAAUGGGCGAAAGCYUGAUCCAGCCAUGCCGCGUGUGUGAAGAAGGCYUUAGGGUUGUAAAGCACUUUAAGCGAGGAGGAAAUGUUCUAGGCUAAUACCCUUGAGCAGUGACGUUACUCGCAGAAUAAGCACCGGCUAACUCUGUGCCAGCAGCCGCGGUAAUACAGAGGGUGCAAGCGUUAAUCGGAAUUACUGGGCGUAAAGCGCGCGUAGGCGGUUACGUAAGUUGGAGGUGAAAUCCCCGAGCUCAACUUGGGAAUUGCCUUCAAAACUGCGUGGCUAGAGUGUGGGAGAGGAAGGUAGAAUUCCAGGUGUAGCGGUGAAAUGCGUAGAUAUCUGGAGGAAUACCGAUGGCGAARGCAGCCUUCUGGCCUAACACUGACGCUGAGGUGCGAAAGUAUGGGGAGCAAACAGGAUUAGAUACCCUGGUAGUCCAUGCCGUAAACGAUGUCUACUAGCCGUUGGAGGACUUGAUCCUUUAGUGGCGCAGCUAACGCAUUAAGUAGACCGCCUGGGGAAGUACGGUCGCAAGACUAAAACUCAAAGGAAUUGACGGGG
rnacentral:rRNA from 1 species